rnacentral:rRNA from 1 species
CCUACGGGAGGCAGCAGUGGGGAAUAUUGCACAAUGGGGGAAACCCUGAUGCAGCGACGCCGCGUGAGUGAAGAAGUAUUUCGGUAUGUAAAACCCUAUCUGCCGGGAAGCAAAUGACGGUACCUGUUUAAGAAGCCCCGGCUAACUACGUGCCAGCAGCCGCGGUAAUACGUAGGGGGCAAGCGUUAUCCGGAUUUACUGGGCGUAAAGGGAGCGUAGUCGGGAGCACAAGUCUGGAGUGAAAUGCCGGGGCUUAACCCCGGAACUGCUUUGGAAACUGUGCAGCUAGAGUGCAGGAGAGGUAAGUGGAAUUCCUAGUGUAGCGGUGAAAUGCGUAGAUAUUAGGAGGAACACCAGUGGCGAAGGCGGCUUACUGGACUGUAACUGACGUUGAGGCUCGAAAGCGUGGGGAGCGAACAGGAUUAGAUACCCCUGUAGUC